ACACAAAGGAUGAUUUUGCCUCAAUUAGAAAUGAAAGAAGUGUUGAACUAGAAAAUUGCAAAAUUAGAGACUCAAGCUGCACAACCCAAAGAAAUGCUAGAUCAGAAAAUAACAUGGGAGAUUAAAGCUGCACAACCCACAAUCCAUAAACCUGCAAUUUCUUGCAGCAAUGGGAAUAAAUUGAGCUUACUAAUUCAAGAGGACCAUGAUUUUUAGUUCUAUUCUUUUGUUUUCCUAAUUUCCAUGAAGUUAAUG
rnacentral:misc_RNA from 1 species